UUUUCACAUUUAUGUAAAAAUGAGCAUUUUUUUCCUUUCAAAUAAUUGUAACAAGUAAAUUAGCAUUUAUUCACAAAUAUACAAAUGUUAUUUUAUUCAAAAUUACCAAUAUUUUACAUAUAUAAAAUAACAAUAUAAUUUCCAGGUAAAAUAAUACAUGCAAAAUAAUUUACCUAUGUAAUAAAUAAAUAAAUAUUGUUUGAUUCAAAAGUUAUUUAAGCUAUUUGCAUACACAUAUAUAUAAUAAUAUCAAAACGUGCCUAACAUAUGUAAUAAUACAUGCAAAAUAAUUUACCUACAAAAUAAAUGAAUGUUGAUUGAUUGCAAACAACACAUAAUAAUAACAAAUGUGCCUAGUAUAUGUAAUAAUACAUGCAAAAUAAUUUACCUACAAAAUAAAAGGAUGUUUUUAGCCAAUUGAUUCAAAGUUAAUUAAUUACCUAUAUUAUACUUAAAAAUAUAGGUAAUUUAUUUCACACAAAUAUAAUAAUAACAAAAUGUGCCUAAUGUAUACAUGCAAAAUAAUUUACUUACAAUGAUUGUCAAACAAAUAUAAGAAAUGGAAUAGAUGAUGGUGAGACAAGUAUAAAGUGGAUACUUUUGUAAUUUACCUACUGAAUAAAUGAAUGUUGAUUGAUUGCAAACAACACAUAAUAAUAACAAAUGUGCCUAGUAUAUGUAAUAAUACAUGCAAAAUUAUUUACUUACAAAAUCAAAGGAUGUUUUUAGCCAAUUGAUUCAAAGUUAAUUUGUCACAGCCCGUCCCGGAGGUACCUUUGACGGGAACGUGAAAUGACUGAAUUGCCCUUAACGGGCACUAAGGUGUGUGUGUGAUAUGUUUUAGAUAUUCAUAUUUUUCCUACACUAUUGGAAAUAUUAUUUAAGUUAGAUAAGAAUAUUGGAAGGUUGGAUUGUUGUUUGGUUAGGGAAUUAGAAAUGGAUGGUGUGGAUUGACUUUGGACCCCUACACCCUCACAUUUCCUUCCCUCUUUCCCGUACCCUGUCUCUCUCUCCUCCCUCACGACUCUCUCUCACUCUCUCUCACCCAAAACGUACGGCACACACCCAAAUCCUCCAAAACUCGACGGAUCGAGGCAACCAAGGUAUGCAUCUUCAUCCUUUCGACAUUCUGAGUUCAUUGGUACUAGUUUUAGGAAGUGAAACCCUCGAAAUCACGGGAAACCCGAACCUCCAUUUUUGAGUUACUGUUCAUGCACACGUAAAAUGUCGUGUUUAAGGGAAUUCUAAGCUUGUAGUGAGCUUAGUGAAGUCCUAAGGAGGCUCGGAGUACUUCGUUUGAAGGAUUUGGACGUCGGGAUCACGUGGUUCCAUUUUGGCCGAAUUUCUUGAGAAUUUUCCGGUGAGAUUUCUUGAUUUUUAGAGCCUUAAAGUAGUGUAUUGUGAGUCUACAUGUUUGGGGCUUCAAUUUGAUAUAUUAUACGAAGAAAAUGGUUGAGAAACGAAGGAGAACGAAGCAUUUGAAAAUUCCCCAGUUUUCCGGCCACCGGAAAAACCAGUCCGGCGAACCCGCGAGGAAGAAGGUGCGCGUGGGCGCGCGUGGACCCGUGCCUUCCUUGGCGCGUGGGGGCGCGUGCUACAGUAAAAAAUUAUUUUAAAAAUAUUUCGACGUCCGUGACGUCGAGUAGAUCACUGUGGUAUAUUCAUAUACCCAAAUUGAGCACCGUAUGAGAAAGUUAUUAAGGAUUGUUGGUUAGGUGUUCGAAUAACGUUUUAUAGUUUUCGCAUUAGGUGAAAAUGUGAAUUGAUGAUCCGACCGUUGGAUCGUUACCAAACUUUGAUACGUUGUAAUACGUAAUAUUUGAGGAUUAUUGGAACUUACGGAUUGGGAAUCCGAGUUACGGAUCUUCCGGAAUUGGAAUUGUAAGUUCAUAAAAUAAAAUGUUAACCGUCACUUAGUUUUGGAAAUUGACGGAGAUCCGACCGUUGGAUGGUAAUGAAAUUUUAGGAUGUUAUCCUAGAGAUAUAUUGUGGACCUCUGGAAGUUAUGGAUUUAAAAUCUG
rnacentral:lncRNA from 1 species